rnacentral:lncRNA from 1 species
GAAGCCCCAGUCUUGAUUUGUCAAACCCCAACCCCCUUAUUAGUAGCCGAAGUAAAGGCCAGCAUGAGAUCAAAGUCACUUGCCGUCCGUUCGCUCUCUGUUCAACAAAGGCCAUCGAUAUUCCCUUACUUCUCAAGUUUUUCAUUUUAUGAGCCCUUCGAUUGUAUCCCAUAAUAAAAUCUCUCUGAUAAACAUCUUGUCGAUGAUUCGAUUUUAACAUAUUAUUUAUAAUCUUCGUGUGCGCUUUUCGCCUGGCUUCUUUGCGUAAAGAACCUAACUCAUCUGAAGUUAAGAAAAAUGAACCAUUUA